GACGAACGCUGGCGGCGUGCUUAACACAUGCAAGUCGAACGAUGAAGAAAAGAAUCGCAGCUUCGGCAGAAAUUCAUUUCGGAUUAGUGGCAGACGGGUGAGUAAUGCGUGAGCAACCUACCUCUUACAAAGGGAUAGCCUCGGGAAACCGGGAUUAAUACCAUAUAACAUUGUGACGAAGCAUUUCGAUGCAAUCAAAGCUACGGCGGUAAGAGAUGGGCUCGCGUCCCAUUAACCGGAUGGUGAGGUAACGGCUCACCAUAGUGACGAUGGGUAACCGGCCUGAGAGGGUGAACGGUCACACUGGAACUGAGACACGGUCCAGACUCCUACGGGAGGCAGCAGUGGGGAAUAUUGCACAAUGGAGGGAACUCUGAUGCAGCGACGCCGCGUGAGUGAUGAAGGAAUUCGUUUCGUAAAACUCUGUUCUAUGGGAAGAAAAGGACUGUACCAUAGGAGAAAGCUCCGGCUAAAUACGUG
rnacentral:rRNA from 1 species